rnacentral:lncRNA from 1 species
GAUUGCUGUUUAGAACAUUGCGCAUACUCCAAGAUACUAGUAUACUGUUGCAUGUGCAGGCAAUGAAUUUUGGUUGACGUGGCCGGCAUGCAUCCCAAUGCUUUGCCUAGCUAAGCUGAGCAAGCGGUGACACUAACGUACCCAUGCAUCAUGGUUGCUGACCUUUGCUUCUACUGCCGACAUCCUCCUCGCAUCGAGGAGCCAUAUCAGCUGAUCAGUUUUUCUGGAACUCUCCGGGAGGCGGGACACAAAAUACCUCUGCUCUAGUUUUAUGAGUUCUUAUUUGACAGGUCUCCUCGUCACGCCAGAAGAUUAGUCAGAGCAUCUCUAAUAGAAUGAUUAGUUAGAGCAUCUCUAAUAGAAGGUCCGUAAAUAUUUUGAGUUUGUGUGAAAAUAUGCUCGGAACAGGCAAAAAAAAACAAAAAACCGGACUGUAAAAGUAUCGUGGGUUAUGUACACACCUUUUCGCCCGCGUGCUAUAUCAGGGGCUCUGACGUUGUACCUAAAACAAAAAAUUUCCUACGAGAAGUGCGGAAUAAACCCAAUAAUCAUAUUUACUAGAUGUAAGUAACGAGAGGGAUUAUGAGCAUCAUACUCUCAUAGACCACAAAACGUUACGAUCACGGGAUCGUUGUUGGCGUAGUAGAACUUUCUAUGAGAUCAAUCUUAGUGCAGAACCGACGGCACCUUCUUGGUAUCCACACGUUCAGCUUCACGUCGUCUCCUCCUUCUUGAUCCAGCAAGCGAGGGGAAGAGGUCAAUGAGAUUUCAGCAGCACGACGGCGUGGUGGUGACUAUGGUGGAGAGCUUUACGGGCAGGGCUUUGCUGCGCGUGAUAGAGGAGGAGGAGAGGGGCUUACGAGAGAAAGAUCCAGCUGAGGGUUUGGUGUAUCCUCUCCUCCUGCCCCUCACCUCUAUUUAUAUAGGGGGUGGUGGCCAGGGUUUGUCCCUCCUCCAAGAAGGAGCUAGGGCCGGCCAAGGG